GUUAAUUAGGACAGGUAAAGGCUAAAUGUAAAAUGCUCGGCCAUGGGAGAAAAGAGCCAUGUGGUAGGAAGGUAGGAAGUAAGAGUGUGUGUGUGUGUGUGUCAUGUGCUUUUAGUAGCUCACUUCUCUUUCGACGACAGGAUUGUGAUAACCUGUUAGUUGCAGAUUCAUCAAUUAGCCUACUGUCUAUUCUAUGUUUGACCCACUCCUGCAGUGGGUUAACAGAUGCACUCACACACUCACCCCCAGAUGGCAGGAAUAACAUUAAGCAAGAGUGAACCGUUAAAAGAGAGGCGGCAGCAGAAUACAAAAAAAAAAGAAAAGGGGAAUAUGAGGCAAAAUUUAGAAAAAAAAAACAGCAGCUGAGAUUAAAAGACAAAUCUGUUUUUCAGCUGAGAGAGCGCAGGAGGUUAGAGAGCGGAGGAGAGCAGAGGGAGAGAUAGAGGGUGAUACAGUGUGUUUUGCCAGCCUGAGCUUAUGUGUGUGUACGUGAGGGUGGGGAAUCUUAUGGACAGUGAAUCAUUAAUAUCAGCAGCCUGUAAGACACUAAUGAAUAACACGGGAAUAUAUCAGCUCAUCGUUUGCUUCUCUCCUCUCCCCUUCACUCCUCACACUCUGCUCUCUCCUUCUCUCUCUCUCUAUCUCUCUCUCUCUGCACCAGAUUCAUGUCUUCCAGCUUUAAUGAGAAACACCUGUUAGAGCUCCUCGUUAGGCAUCCCUUGUUCAGGUCCCAUUAGACUACUAGUCCCUCUCGACUGUGCACUGUGUGUGUGUGUGUGUGCUGGGUGAACUUUCCGGAAACUCAACAGAUUUUAUGACAGCUGACCAAUUCACCACACACCAAAACAAUUAUGAACUGAUCCAUAUGUGAACACUAGAGAAUCCAAGUUAUAUCCAUGAUGGACAUAUAUAGUGUUGAUGUAUAUUUCCCCCCCAAUGCUUUUUAGAAAUACUGCACAGCAUUUGGUGAUGCAUUUUUUUUAGAGAUGUUCCGAUACCAUUUUUUCCUUCCCGAUACCAAUCCGAUACCAGCAUGAUAAAUAUAAUAUCGUUGUCGCUUUUGGGCUAUCUUAGUGGAAUUUAUCUUGUUGUUGGAAUGCGGUUUCCAAUGUGUCCUGCUGCUGUUUAUCCUUUUUAUCCCCUCUGCCUUGGUGAAGUUGUCGUACUCUUUCGUGUGAUGUGCUGAAAUUGGAAACCCAUGGAAACGAAAGCCUUACAUACUGUUCAUAUCGCCGUUUUACUUGUUAGAAUUUCCACUGUGAAAUAUUGCCAAAUGGCUGACAUUUUCCUCCUUCUGACUACCGUUACCAAAGAACGUAUGUUGCUAAGAAGUGAAAGUCAGUGUUUGUUCCAUUGCAACAUCAGCUCCCAGCACCAAAGCUACGCCUACGCCAGUAAAAUGUCCGCCUAAAAAGUGCCGUACAAAAGUAAAACAAAAUUAUUUCUGUUCUGUUGUCAUAUUGUACUGAAAAUGCCUGCGUUAAACAAUAAAAUAUUAUAAAUAUA